UACGCAGGGGGCUAGCGUUGCUCGGAAUCACUGGGCGUAAAGGGUGCGUAGGCGGGUCUUUAAGUCAGGGGUGAAAUCCUGGAGCUCAACUCCAGAACUGCCUUUGAUACUGAGGAUCUUGAGUCCGGGAGAGGUGAGUGGAACUGCGAGUGUAGAGGUGAAAUUCGUAGAUAUUCGCAAGAACACCAGUGGCGAAGGCGGCUCACUGGCCCGGUACUGACGCUGAGGUGCGAAAGCGUGGGGAGCAAACAGG
rnacentral:rRNA from 1 species